GUCAGUGUGGUAUAGUGGUUUGAGUUUAGGACUAGGACUCUGGAGACCAGGGUUCGAUUUCCCGCUCGGCCA